GAUGAACGCUAGCGGCAGGCUUAAUACAUGCAAGUUGAGGGGCAGCAUGAUAUACGCGAGUAUAUUGAUGGCGACCGGCGGACGGGUGAGUAAUAGGUAGGAGACCUACCUCAUACAGGGGGAUAGCAUAGAGAAAUCUGUGGUAAUACCCCAUGAGGUUAUAUGAAUAGAGGCAUAUAAUCAAAGCAUAAGCGAUUAUGCGGUAUGAGAGGGGCCUACUGACCAUUAGCUAGUUGGUGAGGUAAGGGCUCACCAAGGCGAAGAUGGUUAGGGGUUUUGAGAGAGAGACCCCCCACAUUGGAACUGAGAGACGGUCCAGACUCCUACGGGAGGCAGCAGUAGGGAAUAUUGGGCAAUGGGCGAAAGCCUGACCCAGCCAUGCCGCGUGAAGGAAGACGGCCUUAUGGGUUGUAAACUUCUUACUACGCGAAUAGAGGUUAGUACGAGAUACUAAUAGGAAGGUAGUGUAGUAAAAGCACCGGUAACUCCGUG
rnacentral:rRNA from 1 species